rnacentral:rRNA from 1 species
UGGGGAAUAUUGCACAAUGGGCGCAAGCCUGAUGCAGCCAUGCCGCGUGUAUGAAGAAGGCCUUCGGGUUGUAAAGUACUUUCAGUCGGGAGGAAGGUGUCAAGGUUAAUAACCUUGGCAAUUGACGUUACCGACAGAAGAAGCACCGGCUAACUCCGUGCCAGCAGCCGCGGUAAUACGGAGGGUGCAAGCGUUAAUCGGAAUUACUGGGCGUAAAGCGCACGCAGGCGGUUUGUUAAGUCAGAUGUGAAAUCCCCGGGCUCAACCUGGGAACUGCAUCUGAUACUGGCAAGCUUGAGUCUCGUAGAGGGGGGUAGAAUUCCAGGUGUAGCGGUGAAAUGCGUAGAGAUCUUGAGGAAGACCGGUGGCGAAGGCGGCCCCCUGGACGAAGACUGACGCUCAGGUGCGAAAGCGUGGCGAGCAAACAGG